rnacentral:lncRNA from 1 species
UGGGACAUGAACAGUUGAAAAAAUAAAUAAUUGCUGUUACAAUAUAAGAUGUUUUGGCUGACAUUUAUUUUAAAAGUAUUUUUCCUUAAUGGGAAAAACUUCAGAUGUCAAUUCAGAAAUUUUUUUCUCUUUAAAACUUUUCAAGAGGCAUAGAUGAGCAUUUAUUAUAUGAUUAUGAGAUGUAAUAUUCUGUUUCUUAUGUUACUGACUAGAAGUGUGAAAAAGCAUAUAAUUUUGAAAUAAUUAUGUAUUGUUCAAAUAAUUACAAUGACAAUAUAUUACCAUAUUUUUGUGUACACACUGAAAUAAAAUGUUUGUCUUUUAGGCUUGCAAAGAAGAUAUUAAAUAAAAAAAAUGAGGACAAAGUAGAGAUGGUUGAAGAUGCUAUUGAUGACCUCACUCAGGCACAUGCCACAGGUUCUAUUUGCCUCCAGACAAGUGAGAAAAUAGUUGUUACAACUAGUUUAUCAAUAAAACAUCAAAAAAAGACAAAAUUGGUAAAAACCACAAGAGUACUUGAGAGUUUACAAUACACAGUUAGGGAAACACAGGAAAGAAGAAAAACUCAAUCCCGCUUAAAGCAUGAAUGUGAUAAAGAACACUAUAGAAGCAGAUUGAAAGGCGAAAAACAAAACAGAGAAAAACCACAGUCAGAAAUUAAAAUAAUUUCCUAUAAAAGUCGUGCCAUACAUCAGAAACAUCAGACAUCAAAAAAGAAAAACCAAGAUUAUCUCUUUAUAAAGAACAGAAUUGACACCCUGUCAAAAAGGUAUUCUAAAGCUAAAAAGGAGCUCCGUAAACUACUUCAUGCCCUUAAAGUGAAGACAUUACUUAUUGAAAAAAGACAGAAGCAAAUAAAGCAGGUCAAGGACAAAGUGAAGAAAUAUAGACUCGAAAAUCAUAUACUAAAGGAAAAAUAUAAAAGAGCACUUCUCCAAGAAGAGCUCCUGCAAGAAAAAUUAAACGAAAUGCAGAAGGAAAUUCCCUUGCCUCAACCAUUUGAAAAUGCCCAAAAGAAAGGGGCCUUCAUAAAAGAGGUAUUUCAAAAUAUCGGGAUGCAUUUUAGGGAUCACUCCAUGACUGUUGAUGCUGAUAUUGAAGAACAAGAUCAUGUGGCAAAAGAGAGAAAAGAGCAAAUACAUAUAUAUAAAAAAGAACAGGCAGAAGAUGAGGAAAUAAUAAAAAAGCUUCAAGAAAAAGUCGCAGAAUCCCAAAAAGAAACCUUCAUGUUUGUACAAACUUCUAUGGAAAUGAAGCGAAUAUGGAAGAAAUAUCAAAGGGAAAGUGAACUGCAUGAAUAUCAACAACGGAUCAAACGGGAAAAGCAGUAUAUUAAAGAUAUAGAAGAUUAUAUACUAAAAUUAAAACAUUCCACAUCUGAAAAUUCAGGAGAGCAAACUGACAAAAAUGAAGAACUUUGGGACACUACCGAUUCCCAUUUUCAACAUAUUCGACACCUUGAAGAAAAAAUAGAAGCAGAAUUUUCAAAAAAUAUUAAGUUGGAAUUACUAUAUAGAAAGCUUCAAGAAGAGGCAAUUGCUCUCCAAGGUCUGCCAAAGGAUGAUGACAACCUGGAACGGAGGAGAAGAGGAAUUUAAAGGAGCAGUUAUUACACUGGAGCAAAAAGAAGAAAAACUUAUAUGACCAAAUGGAGCAUUGACUUCAAGAAAUGGAAGCUGAAUUUGAAAAUAAAACAUCUAAGGCAGAACUAGAGAAAUACAGGGGGCAGAGCCAAGAUGGCAGAGAUUACACAGGUCUUUAUCUGAGCUCACAUCAACACCAGAUCAAAACUCUGAACUGUAACAAAUUUCUAGCGGAAGUUAUUUUGGAAAAAAUUCAGAAAAGGUUUAUUUCAAUCAGGCAUGGGGGUGGAGGGGUGGACUGAGCACAGGCCUAGCGUAGGGACCCAGGGCAGUGUGCCAUUCAUAUCUCAGCCGAGACACAUACAAGACAAAGGUAAAUAGUGUGCCUCUAAACCCCAGAAGAUUAUGGGACCUGACCAUGUCCACCCAACACUGAAAGGAAGUCAGCACCACUGACUAUCCUAAAGCCACUAUCACCUAUACAGGAAGCUGGGUAAAAUCUCCCUGUUGCCCUAAGAGCAGACCUCACCCUUUAAAAAAAUCAGGAAAAAAAGCAAAAAGAAAUCUGAUCAUAUUUAGCUUUUAUGGAGAAAAAAAAGUACAGACCUCUAACCCUGAGGAUCCUAAAGGCAAAUCAUGAAUCCCCAAAAGGUGAUAUAAUUUGGACCCCAUCUCACAAGGCUCUCUUGGAAGAAUUCAAAAAAGAUCUUAAAAGAGAGUUAGGAGGAAAAUGGAGAAAAGAGAACUUUGCGAGAGAGUUUGGAAAAGGAAACACAGAAAUUAUCUGAAGGUAAUUUAAAAAUAGAUUUAGUGAAAUGGAAAAAUCACAUAAUGCUUCAAAUAACUCUUUAUAAAAUACAUUUGAUGAAAUGGAAGAAAGUGCAUAACUCCUUAGAAAAUAGAUUUGAAAAAGAAACCAAUUCAUUGAAAAACAGAAUUUGUGAAAUUGGGAAAAAAUUCAGUGAACAAAAACAUUUAAAAGGUCAGUUGCCCAAAUGCAAAAUGAAAUAAAGAUAACUGAAAAAAAAGAAAAAAUUAGAAUUGAACAAAUGGAAGUGAAUGACAUAGACUUCAAGAAACAGUUAAGCAAAACCCUCAAAAAAUGAAAAAAUAGAAGAAAAUGUAAAAAACUUACAUGGAAAAUAGAUUUAGCAGAAACAGAGACAAUCUAAGGAUUGUUGGACUUCCUAAAAACCAUGAUGAAAAAAAGAGCCUAUCAUCUUUCAGGAAAUCAUUAAACUGCCUUCAUGUCCUAGAACCAGAGAGUAAAAUAGCCAUUGAAAGAAUUCACCUAAAACUUCUCAAAAGGGGCCCCACAAUGAAAACUCCAACAAACUUCAGAAUUAUCAAAUCAAGAAUGAAAUAUUGCAGGCAGCCAAAAAGAAGCACAAGCUAAGAUAGCAGUGACCACACCUCUCUUAGAUCAUAUGAACUGAAAACUUCCAGAACUAGCUCUGAAAAAAGCAGAAUAAAAAACUUGAAUCUUGGGAUAGUGCUGUCUCCAUUGUAGAGCAACAACAAAAAUAAUCUAAACAUAGAAAGUUACUAUGAUCAAAACACAAACAUAGAAAAAGGCAACAAAGUCAAAGUGUUACAUCCAAAACCACAAAGAAAAAUGUAAAUUGGCCUCAGGCCAAUAAAGAAUUUCUGGAGGAGCUCAAAAAAGGAUUUUAAAAUUCAAAUAAGAAUGGUUUUAAAAACUUGGAAAAGAAAUGAAUGAUACAAAAAAAAUUAAGAAAAGUCAACACCUUAGCAAAGGAGACACCAAAAAAUAUUAAAGAAAAUUACCUUAAAAAAAGAAUAGGCCAAAUGGUAAAAGAUACACAAAAAUCCACUGAAGUAUUUAAAAAUAAAAUUGGCCAAAUGGAAAAAAUGUUCAAAAAUUCACCAAAGAAAAUUACUUUAAAAAUAGAUUUGGGCAAAUUAAAGCUGCAUUCAUGAGACAUCAAGAAAAUAAUCAGUAGAAUGAAAAAAAAAUAAAGACAAUGUGAAAUAUCACUGGAAAAACAAUUGGUUUGAAUAAUAGAUUCAAGAGAGGUACAUUAAAAUUAUUGCAACACCUGAAAUCCCUGAUCAAACAGAGCUUAAACAUCUUUUCAAGGAAACUGACCUGAUAUCCGAAAACCAGAGGGUAAAAUAGACAUUGAAAGACUCCACCAAUCAACUCACUCCUGAAACAGAUCCCAAAUUGAAAAUUCCCAGAAAUAUUUAAGCUGAAUCUCAGAUCUUCCCAAGUCAAGAAAAAAAAUAUUGCAAAGAGCCAGAAAUAAACAAUUCUAAUACUGUAGAGUCACAUUCAAAAUAGGGUUUGGAAUAAUACUCCAGAUGGCAAAGGAUUACAAUUAAGAAUCAAUUACCCAGCAAAACUGAGUGAGGGAAAAGGAUAGGGGAUGAGACAGUAAUGAAAUAGAGAAGUUUCAAGUAUCCCUGAUAAGCUCAAAAUGAACAGAAAACUUAUACAAAACUGAAGAGAUGCAUAAAAAGUUAAAGAGAAAUCAUAAAGGAUUCAAUAAAGUUAACUAAGUGUAUUUCUACAUGGGAAGAUGAUACUUGUAACUCUUAAAAAAUCAUUAGGGCAGUUUUAGGAGUCUACAUAGCCAAAGGGCACAGAUGUGAAUUAACUAUAACGGGGAUGAUAUCCCAAGAAAAUUAAAAUAAAAGGUGAGAGAGGUAUGCCUAUUUCAUAGGAGAAAGGGAAAGGAGUAAAAGGAGAGAGAACAGGACAAACAGGGAGAAAGUAGGAUGGAAGUAAUAAGAGUAAUCAAAACUUUGAAUGUAAAUAGGAUAAAUUCACCCAUAAAACAGGAGAUGGAAUGAAUUACAUAAUUUAGACGUAAAAGGUGACCAUGAAGCAUAAAUAAGGAAAUAUGGAACAGUUUACCUUUUUUCUCUAAAGGGAAGAAUUUGUGACCAAGAAACAGAAAUGAAAUCCAAAAUGUAUUGAUUUUGAUUACAUUAAAAUAAUUGUUUGUUUGCACAAACAAAAGCAAGUUAAGAUUGUAAGGAAAGAAGAAAAUUGGGGUGGAAGUUAUAUAACAAUUUUCCCUCAUAAAGGUCUCGUUUUUCAAAUAUAUAAAGAACCAAGUCAAAUUUAUAAGAAUACAAAUCAUUCCCCAAUUGGUAAAUGAUCAAAGAAUAUGAACUAGCAGUUUUCAGAUGAAGAAAUCAAACCUAUCUAAUUAUAUGAAAAAAUGCUCUAAAUCAUCAUUGAUUAGAGAAAAGGAAAAUGAUAAAUACUGGUGAUGUGAGAAAAUUGGAACACUAAUGAAUAGUUGUACCGAGUUGUAAAGUGACCCAAACAUUUUGGAGAGCAAUUUGAAACCAUGUCAAAAGGAGUAUAAAAUUUUGCAUAUUCUUUGAACCAGCAAUACCACUACUAGAUCUGCAUCCAAAAGAGAUAGAAAAGGAAAAGGGCCUAUAUAUUCAAAAAUAUUUAUAGCAGGUCUUUUUGUAGUGGCAAAGAAAUGAAAACUAAGGGAAAGAUCAUCAGGUGAGACAAUAGCUGAACAAGUUGUGAUAUAUGACUGUUAACAGUAUUAUACCAUAAGAACUCAAUAGCAGACUGAUGAAAAUGAAGUCUGAAUACAGAUCAAAGCAUACUUUUUAAAAAAUUAUUUUUCUUAGGGUUUUUUGAGGAGUUUGUGUUUUCUUUCACAAUAUGACUAAGAAAAAUAUUAUACAUCACAAAAAUAUUUUACAUCACUGCACAUGUACUUUACUUAUUUACGUCAAUAAGGGAGAAGAGAACUAGAAACAUUUUAGACAUUAAAAAUUGUUUCUAUACAUAACUAGAAAAAAAAUUUUAAAUGUGCUCAAAAAAAGUAAAAAUUAAAAUCUUAAUAUGGUUCAAAAGAAAAAUAAUAUGAAGACAAUUCCACCUCAAAUGUAGUAAAUUGCAUACAUUUUCAUACUUUUAAAAUGUAUUAUAAUGACUUUUUCUUCUUUAAAAAAAAGCUUUUUUUUUUUUAAAAAAAGCACACAUAUAUUGUAUCUAGGAUAUACUGACAUAUUUAACAUAUAUAAGACUGCUUGCCAUCUGGGGGGGUGGUGGAGGGAAAAAAGGGGAAAAAUCAGAACAGAAGUGAGUUCAAGGGAUGUUGUAAAAAAAUUACCCUGGUAUGGUUAAUGUCAAUAAAAAGUUAUAAUUUUAUAACAUCAUAUGGGAAUGCUCUAUAGGGAGAGACACUAAAGACACUAUAGUAAUGUAAAUAAAUAAAAUAAAUUUUAAAAAAUUUUAAAAGAUCCCAUAGCCAAAACUGUAAAACCAAUUAGAUAUGCUCUGCUAUUCCUUCUGCACAAAUUGUUCAUUUCUCAUAUCUAUGCAUUAUAUGCCAUUUCUGCUAAAAGGAUUCUGCCUCCUCUUGCUAAUAAACUUGCCUUUCAAAAGUCA